GACGAACGCUGGCGGCGUGCCUAAUACGUGCAAGUGGGACGCAAGGGAACACACUGUGCUUGCACACCGUGUUUUCUUGAGUCGCGAACGGGUGAGUAACGCGUAGGUAACCUGCCUAUUAGCGGGGGAUAACUAUUGGAAACGAUAGCUAAUACCGCAUAAUAUUAAUUAUUGCACGAUAAUUGAUUGAAAGAUGCAAGCGCAUCACUAGUAGAUGGACCUGCGUUGUAUUAGCUAGUUGGUAAGGUAAGAGCUUACCAAGGCGACGAUACAUAGCCGACCUGAGAGGGUGAUCGGCCACACUGGGACUGAGACACGGCCCAGACUCCUACGGGAGGCAGCAGUAGGGAAUCUUCGGCAAUGGACGAAAGUCUGACCGAGCAACGCCGCGUGAGUGAAGAAGGUUUUCGGAUCGUAAAGCUCUGUUGUAAGUCAAGAACGUGUGUGAGAGUGGAAAGUUCACACAGG
rnacentral:rRNA from 1 species